rnacentral:ncRNA from 1 species
ACAUAUCUCCGGAGAGUGCUGUACGGUACAGCCGCCGAAGGGGCUAAAAGGAAACUUGAAAUCUCUCAGGCAAAAGGACGGGGCC